GACGAACGCUGGCGGCGUGCCUAAUACAUGCAAGUUGAGCGCUGAAGGUUGGUACUUGUACCAACUGGAUGAGCAGCGAACGGGUGAGUACCGCGUGGGGAAUCUGCCUUUGAGCGGGGGACAACAUUUGGAAACGAAUGCUAAUACCGCAUAAAAACUUUAAACACAAGUUUUAAGUUUGAAAGAUGCAAUUGCAUCACUCAAAGAUGAUCCCGCGUUGUAUUAGCUAGUUGGUGAGGUAAAGGCUCACCAAGGCGAUGAUACAUAGCCGACCUGAGAGGGUGGUCGGCCACAUUGGGACUGGGACACGGCCCAAACUCCUACGGGAGGGAGCAGGAGGGGAUCUUCGGCAAUGGGCGAAAGUCUGACCGAGCAACGCCGCGUGAGUGAAGAAGGGUUUCGGAUCGUAAAACUCUGUUGGUAGAGAAGAAAGUUGGUGAGGGUGAAAAGCUCAUCAAGUGACGGUAACUACACAGAAAGCGACGGCUAACUACGUG
rnacentral:rRNA from 1 species